rnacentral:rRNA from 1 species
AUGGAACGCUGGCGGCAGGCCUAACACAUGCAAGUCGAACGAGUGGCGGACGGGUGAGUAAUGUCUGGGAACCUGCCUGAUGGAGGGGGUUAACUACUGGAAACGGUAGCUACUACCGCCUACCAUCGGAUGUGCCCAGAUGGGAUUAGCUAGUAGGUGGGGUAAAGGCUCACCUAGGCGACGAGCCCUAGCUGGUCUGAUAGGAUGACCGGCCACACUGGAGCUGAGACACGGACCAGACUGCUACGGGAGGCAGCAGUGGGGAAAAUUGCACAAUGGGCGCAAGCCUGAUGCAUAAAUGCCGCGUGUAUGAAGAAGGCCGUCGGGUUGAAAAGUACUUUCAUCGGGGAGGCGUUACCCGCAGAAGAAGCACCGGCUAACUCCGUGCCAGCAGCCGCGGUAAUAC